UUAAAGGGCUGCAGUAUAUUGACUGUACAAAGGUAGCAUAAUCAUUAGUCAUUUAAUUGAUGACUUGUAUGAAGGAUUGGAUGAAAUAUAAACUGUCUCUUAAUUAUAUUUAGAAUUUAAUUUUUUAAUUAAAAAGUUAAAAUAAAUUAGAAAGACGAGAAGACCCUAUAGAGUUUUAUAAGUAAAAUUAAUUGAGAUUAUUUGUAAAGGUUAAAAUUAAGAUUAAUUUAUUUAUUUUGUUGGGGUGACAGAAAAAUAUAAAAAACUUUUUAUAUAUUUAAAACAUUAAUAAGUGGUUAAAUGAUCCAAUAUUAUUGAUUAUAAGAAAAAAUUACCUUAGGGAUAACAGCGUAAUUUUUUUUUUUAGUUCACAUAAAAAAAAAAGUUUGCGACCUCGAUGUUGGAUUAAGAUAAAAUUUAAAUGCAGAAG
rnacentral:rRNA from 1 species